rnacentral:rRNA from 1 species
GGCGUAAAGGGCGCGUAGGCGGCAGAGCAAGUCAGAUGUGAAAUUCCGGGGCUCAACCCCGGAGCUGCAUUUGAAACUGCUCAGCUAGAGUUCAGUUAGGGUAAACGGAAUUCCACGUGUAGCGGUGAAAUGCGUAGAUAUGUGGAAGAACACCGGUGGUGAAGACGGUUUACUGGGCUGAUACUGACGCUGAGGCGCGAAAGCAUGGGGAGCAAACAGGAUUAGAUACCCUGGUAGUCCAUGCCUUAAACGAUGUAUACUAGGAGUAGGAGGGCUCAACCCCCCCUGUGCCGGAGCUAACGCAUUAAGUAUACCGCCUGGGGAGUACGCUCGCAAGGGUGAAACUCAAAAGAAUUGACGGGGGCCCGCACAAGCAGUGGAGCAUGUGGUUUAAUUCGAUGCUAGGCGAAGAACGUUACGUGGGCUAGAAGUGUAGAGGACGAUAUCAGAGAUGAUAUUUCCCGUAAGGGCCUUUACAUAGGUGCUGCAUGGCUGUCGUCAGCUCGUGCCGUGAGGUGCUUGGUUAAGUCCAGCAACGAGCGCAACCCUUAUCGUUAGUUGCCAACAUGUAAUGGUGGGAACUCUAACGAGACUGCCUGGGUUAACCAGGAGGAAGGUGAGGAUGACGUCAAGUCCGCAUGGCCUUUAUGUCCAGGGCUACACACGUGCUACAAUGGUCGGUACAGAAGGCAGCGAAACCGCAAGGUGGAGCAAAUCCGUAAAGCCGAUCUCAGUUCAGAUUGUAGUCUGCAACUCGACUACAUGAAGUUGGAAUUGCUAGUAAUGACGU